GAUGAACGCUGGCGGCGUGCCUAAUACAUGCAAGUCGAGCGAACGGACGAGAAGCUUGCUUCUCUGAUGUUAGCGGCGGACGGGUGAGUAACACGUGGAUAACCUACCUAUAAGACUGGGAUAACUUCGGGAAACCGGAGCUAAUACCGGAUGAUAUUUUGAACCGCAUGGUUCAAAAGUGAAAGACGGUCUUGCUGUCACUUAUAGAUGGAUCCGCGCUGCAUUAGCUAGUUGGUAAGUUAACGGCUUAUCAAGGCAACGAUGCAUAGCCGACCUGAGAGGGUGAUCGGCCACACGAGAGCGGAGACACGGUCCAGACUCCUACGGGAGGCAGCAGUAGGGAAUCUGCCGCAAUGGGCGAAAGCCUGACGGAGCAACGCCGCGUGAGUGAUGAAGGUCUUCGGAGCGUAAAACUCUGUUAUUAGGGAAGAACAGAUGUGGAAGUAACUGUGCACAGCUUGACGGUACCCAAUCAGAAAGCCACGGCUAACUACGUG
rnacentral:rRNA from 1 species